CCUACGGGAGGCAGCAGUAGGGAAUUUUCCACAAUGGGCGAAAGCCUGAUGGAGCAAUUCCGCGUGCAGGAUGAAGGCCUUCGGGUCGUAAACUGCUUUUAUGUGCGAAGAAUUUGACGGUAACACAUGAAUAAGGAUCGGCUAACUACGUGCCAGCAGCCGCGGUAAUA
rnacentral:rRNA from 1 species